rnacentral:guide_RNA from 1 species
ACAAAUACAGAAACUGACGAAAGAGAGAAUGAAGUUAUGAUCUGA